UGGGGAAUUUUGGACAAUGGGCGAAAGCCUGAUCCAGCAAUGCCGCGUGUGUGAAGAAGGCCUUCGGGUUGUAAAGCACUUUUGUCCGGAAAGAAAUCCUUGGCUCUAAUACAGUCGGGGGAUGACGGUACCGGAAGAAUAAGCACCGGCUAACUACGUGCCAGCAGCCGCGGUAAUACGUAGGGUGCAAGCGUUAAUCGGAAUUACUGGGCGUAAAGCGUGCGCAGGCGGUUUGCUAAGACCGAUGUGAAAUCCCCGGGCUCAACCUGGGAACUGCAUUGGUGACUGGCAGGCUAGAGUAUGGCAGAGGGGGGUAGAAUUCCACGUGUAGCAGUGAAAUGCGUAGAGAUGUGGAGGAAUACCGAUGGCGAAGGCAGCCCCCUGGGCCAAUACUGACGCUCAUGCACGAAAGCGUGGGGAGCAAACAGGCUUAGAUACCCUGGUAGUCCACGCCCUAAAACGAUGUCAACUAGUUGUUGGGGAUUCAUUUCUUAGUAACGUAGCUAACGCGUGAAGUUGACCGCCUGGGGAGUACGGUCGCAAGAUUAAAACUUAAAGGAAUUGACGGGGUCAUAGCUGUUUCCU
rnacentral:rRNA from 1 species